AUAAAAUUGGCAGAAUUAUAUGCGGAUGAGUUAGGAUCAUUUUAUAAGAAGUUAUUUCUUAUUUUAUA
rnacentral:tRNA from 1 species